UACGGAGGAUGCGAGCGUUAUCCGGAUUUAUUGGGUUUAAAGGGUGCGCAGGCGGGAAUUUAAGCGUGAGGUGAAAUGCCAUGGCUCAACCAUGGAACUGCCUCGCGAACUGGACUCCUUGAAUGCUCCUGCCGUGGGAGGAAUGUGUGGUGUAGCGGUGAAAUGCAUAGAGAUCACACAGAACACCGAUUGCGAAGGCAUCUCACGAAGGGGCUAUUGACGCUAGGGCACGAAAGCGUGGGGAUCAAAC
rnacentral:rRNA from 1 species